GACUGUGCUGGGGGCCCGAAGGGAGCUCUAAGGAAAGCAAACUGCUGGGUGCGUCCAGGCUCCGGUCCCGGCUACCCGCAACGGGGCGGCUGUGGGGUACGCGGGGAUCCCUUAAUCCCGCGGGGGAUCCCCACGCCCGCCCGCAGCACUGCGCCCGCCCGUGACCUGGCUCUGCCUGUCGCACUCAGGCUCCUUACUUCGCCCCCAGACUCCGAGGUGGGGACGGGUAAAAGGGAGGCGAAUCCAGGGCGCUGGCAUCCCACGAAUUUGACUCCACCCGUCCGGAAACAGAGUACUAGGUUAAGGGAGGAUCGCUGCUGAGGAGGCGGGGGUCUCGCCCGCUGGGAGGGGAAGAAACUGGCACAGAAGCUGGGUACCCUGGCUCCUCUCCUAGUCCCCUCUCCCCUCUGGAUGUCAUAUUAACACUCUCCCGGACAAGGAAAAGCCUGCUGGAAUUGGGACUGUAGAUAAAGAUGCAUAAGACAGAAGAGAGAUUUCUCCAGCCCGACUGCAACUGGGGGAGAAAGAGAGCCUAGGGGGCCCUGAAGUUCAUUCAUCUGUAUGGUUUCCAGCCAGAGAAAAGACCAAAGAGAAACCCCUUCUGAAAGAAGAAACAACACAUUUAGAAAAAACUGAAUAAAAUUAUAGCAUUACUUUAAAAGAAAAGUGGGGGGUGGAAUCCCCUGGCGGUCCAGUGGUUACUCAGUGCCUUCACUGCCGGGGCCAGGUUCAAUCCCCACAAGCCAUGCGACGCAGCCCAAAACAAACAAACAAAAAAGGAACAUCCUUGACCUGCACAGAAAAUUAUCUAGAGUCUGAGGCUCAACCUCACCCUGACCCACCCAGAUGUGUGACCCUCCAAGGCCCGUGCUCUUUCCACGUGGGGCCCAACUUUGGAAGCCAUUUAAGCUCCUAUUACACCUGGUCUGCCAAAGCCAGCGGGAUUCUCCACGUUGGUCACGAACCUGGGCCUGGAGACUAGAAAAAAGGACAAUGUUGGACUGAUGUCAACCUGUUUCCAUUAACUCCUUCCCUGAGCUCUCCUCAGCUUUUGUUGAGGGACAGAACAUAAGGCAAUUUGAUCAAGACCCAGAGGACUGGGUCAAGCGGGGCUGAAACCAUGAGGGAAGCUUGAUCACCUGCAGAGAUCAGGAGGUUGGCAACAUGCUCAAUGCAGCAUGCAAGUUGACCAUGGCAUCAGAAGCAGAAAGAACAUUCCAGCGGUUUGCUGUCUUUGGAGGAUCGUCAAGCAGUGGCACUGAAAUGAACAACAAGAACUUCUCCAAGCUGUGCAAAGACUGUGGCAUCAUGGAUGACAAGAGGGUCACCUCCACUGACGUGGACAUCGUGUUCAGCAAAGUCAAGGCCAAGAAUGCCCGAACCAUCACUUUCCAACAGUUCCAGGAAGCGAUGAAAGAACUGGGCCAGAAGAAGUUCAAGGGGAAAAGCCCGGAUGAAGCCCUGGAGAACAUUUAUAGACUCAUGGAGGGCAAGGACCCAGCUACCGCCGGUGUUACUAAAGCAAUGACGGUGGGAGGGGUGAGCCAGCUGACGGACACCAGCAAGUACACGGGCACCCACAAGGAGCGCUUUGACCAGAGCGGCAAGGGCAAAGGCAUCGCGGGACGGGAGGACAUGACUGACAACUCAGGCUACAGCUGACGGGGAGGGAGAAUCCAUUUUCAACACCCAGCCUGGAACUGAGUUUUACCCCACCCCACCUCCAUCAUGGUAGACAUGGAAUGGAAGAUCCUACUGACUGCCAAGGGUAGCCCAGGAAGAUGGCCAGAGUGAUUCACAGGCAGAUGCAAAAAGUACAGACAGGUCCCAUCUGGAUGUUUUCGACCAAAGCUGGCUGGAGGAACAGGAGCUGGACCACAGGUGGUGUGCCAUUCUUCCUGCUGGCAGAGUUAAGGUGGUUGGAAGCAGAGGUGGGUCUCGAGUGGCUCUCCGCCCCUUCCCAGAGCUUCCAGUGUGCCCCCAGUCUCCCCUAUGUGCCUUCCCCUAUGCCCUCAAAGCCGGACUGUGCUUCAGAGAUCAUCCGGCCCAAGCCUUCAUGCCUCAGAGAGAGGAGACAUUUGCCCAAGGUCACCCAUCUGGUCAGCCACCUCUAGCUUGGUCUACCUUAGGGUCUCAGCCUCACCCAGUCCGGGAGCUGUAACACUUACGAAAUAUGAGGUCCAACUGGUCCUUGGGUGAGAGACGCUUCCCCUUUAUCCCUGGCCCAGUUAAUCCUUCUGGUAAAAAUGCAGAGAGUCCAGAAGGGACAGGCUCAGCUACACUUCUCUGACUGAAGUGGAAGGACAGGAGCUGGAGGACAGCAGGGCAGGGGUGGGAUUCUUCCUUCCUGAGGCCAAGGACAGCCCAAAGGUAAGAAGAGCCUAGAAAGGUUUCUGGAUGAAGACCAGUCUGAGAGGAAGGACUGUCCCCUGGGUUUGAGGAGCCCCUGUGAUGACGGGGGUGGAUGGGGGGGAGGAAAGAGACAUUGCUUUCUGGUCUCCUCCUCUCUGGUGUCAUCAGAACACUUAGUUCCAGCCUCCUUGCGAGAAGUUCCGAAGUUCUUGGGUUUCCUUUGAUGUCUUCUCUGGUUCACAGGCCAUGCUCCUGUGGAAAAGUGACAAGGAAAGCACCGUCAUGUUCCUGAGGAACAAAGUGCUGCUUAUUCCUGACCCUCAGAGAACAGAGGGUCUUCCGCUCUCUCAUCCCACUCACUAGAUCCCCGGAGGCCAGGCUUUCCCCUCUCCUGGACACCACACACUCUCCAACUCCAGGAGGACUCUACACCUCAUAGGACAGAAGACCUCCAUGACCUGGCCGCCAUCAUGUCUCCAACUGCAUCUCCAUCUCUGCCUGCUUCCCCCAGUGGUGCCCACCACCUCUCGCUCACGUUAUCUCCUCUACCCAGCAUGCUGCUCUCUCUUCCCGCUCUCACCCCUGUCAGUUCCGCUGGGCCAGCUCAUGUGAAGAUCAGCCCGGACGUCCUAUUUAAGAAGCGUCUGCUCAGGGCACCUCCCCAGGGAAGUGUGCACAGCCAAGUAAGUGAGGAUAAAGCCCACACAGGCAGGUGGCUCAUCUGUAUCCUUCAGGCUGGUGUAUCAGCCAACACCCGGUGGGAAUCCAUGCAGGGUGGUGCCAGAGCCCGGCUGACUCAAGUCUUUGGUUUGAGGAAGCUACUAGCACUUUGUGGCCCCAGACUCAGAGUGUGCUACCUCUUCCUUAUUUGCUCAAGGCUGCAGCUUCCCUUGGAAGAGAAAGGGGCUUUUCAUGCUUCUUGGUCUUCUUUCUUCAUUCCUACCCACCCACCACCGCUAACCUCUGCACACAGUGUUACAGAGAUGGAACAGCACAUAGUAAAGAGUUUAGGACUUGAUCUCAGAUAACCUACUGAGCUUCUGUUUCCUCUUCUAUAAAAUGGAAGCCUUCCUUACCUCAUGAGGCUGCAAGAAUAAAAUGAGAUGGUCAAUAUGGAGGUGACUUUUAGCCAUUAAACAAUAUAUAAAUGGAAAACUGGAUAUGGUCUCCUAGGUCUUAUAACAACUCACUUUUUUCUCCAACUCACUUAACAUCUGCAAAGCCU